UUAAGUAAGCUUCGUCUGACCUCUCCACAUCCUUGGUUCCUCUCCAGUUGUGUCGGGCUGUUUGCCACACAAAUGAGUGCCAGCCUCGCCCUCACCACAGCCCCUUUGCUCCUGUUUAUUCUCCUCCACACCUGGCCUAUCCUGACUCGGAGAGUGCAGCUCCCUGCCCUCCUGCCAUACUCCCCCAGCCAUCUUCCCAGCCCCAGCAGGAGUCAGCUCCCCCUGAGACAUUGCCCGAUGGCAUCAGCCUUUAUUCCUCCCCUCCUCCUCUGAAUCUCUCUCUGAUAAUUUAACAACUAAUCACUAAGUUUUAUUAGUUUGCUCUUUUAUUUGCAUUAGUUGUUUCCCUGAGUUUCUUAUACAUUCCUUGCAAGCAGAGUCCAGGAGUUCUUUGGCAUCUCCCACAGCAUCUAGCACAGCACUGAGCACCAAGUCAACUCAAUCAAAGAAUAAUGAAUGAUUGAUGGAGUAUUUCCAUCCUGAGAUUGUGCACCUGCUGCCUGCCUGCCCUGUAUUUGGAUGCUCUUGGGAGAUUGUAUAGAUUGGAUCGAUGGUCUUCAUUUGGGGGAUGCUCAUGGCUUGGAUUGUGGACCUGUAGAGCCAGCGUUACACCUGCAGGGAAGUAUGGCUAGAGUGUGGUCUGAGUCUGGCAGGAUUAUCCAGGCAUGCUGUGAGCUUUGAAGGGUGGCACUUGAUGGAGAGGAAGGGUGAAAGGAACACUCAGAGGCAAGAGUGGGUACAUGCCAAUACCCAGGGCCCUUUGUCCUUUCCUGGGCCCUGAAGGUAGAAGAGCCAUCCAGCUAUCCUGGGAGUACCUUUAAACUGGUCCCCUGGAUGGGAGAACUUGAGAUUCUCUGGGAGGGCUCCGGGCCUGCUUUGAUGUCUCUGUGCCUUUCCUCCAGGCUGAGGAUGUCACCUUCCUCUACCACCCCUGUACCCACCCCUGGCUGAAGCUCCAGCUUGCCCUCCUGGCCUAUGCUUGUAUGGCUAACCCCUCCCUCACCCCUGACUCCAGCCUCACGCAGGAUCGGGUAUGUAGCUGAUGAAAGGCACUUGCCUGGCCCUGGCAGAAGGCUAUGGCCCGGUGUGCAGGGAAUGGAAAAUUCAAGGGUUUCCUCUUGCUUGUCCCCACCUUCUUCGUAGCUCUAACAGUUACCUCCUCUCAUAGCCCCUGGUGCUGACUGCAUGGGGGCUGGCGCUGGAGAUGGCCUGGGUAGAGCCAGCCUGGGCUGCCCACUGGCUGAUGAAGAGGCGGAGGAGGAAGCAGAGGAAGAAGAAGGCAUGGAUCUACUGUGAAAGCCUUUCAGGGCCUGCUCCCUCCGAGCCAACCCCUGGUAGAGGGAGGCUGUGCCGAAGAGGGUGUGUGCAGGUGAGAGGCGCUGGGCCCAGGCUUGUUGGCCCUCGGGUUCUCUGAGAGGGGCAGCAGGGUGAUUGCUGUCUCCCCUCUCCUUAGGCCCUGGCUCUGGCCUUCGCUCUGCGGAGCUGGCGGCCCCCUGGCACAGAGGUGACAUCUCAAGGGCCCGGGCAGCCCUCUCCCAGUGGUGCCAAGAGGCGGAGGCUGCGGGCUGCCCUUGGUCCCCAGUCCAGUCGCUCAGCCCUGAGGUUUCCCUCUGCUUCCCCAGGGAGCUUGAAGGCCAAGCAGCCCAUGGUGGGAAUCCCUGGUAGGGAGAGUAAUGCCCCAUCUGUGCCCACUGUCUCCCUGAUGCCGGGGGCGCCUGGAGGCAAUGCCAACUCCAGGACAGAGGCUCAGGUGUCCAACGGGCAAGGCAGCCCAGGGGGCUGUGUCUGUUCAAGUCAGGCUUCCCCGGCCCCUCGCGCAGCAGCGCCUCCACGGGCAGCCCGGGGCCCCACCCCACGCACUGAAGAGGCCGCCUGGGCUGCCAUGGCCCUGACCUUCCUGCUGGUGCUGCUCACACUGGCCACGCUCUGCACACGGCUGCACAGAAACUUCCGACGCGGGGAGAGCAUCUACUGGGGGCCCACAGCGGACAGCCACGACACAGUGGCUGGUGAGGAGUUCCCUCCCUACCCUACCCGAGGCCCCCAACCACCUCGCGUCGCCCGCCGCCCCCCCAUAGCUUCCCUGCCCUCCCGCCCUUGACUGCUUGGCGCCCGGCCCACAGCUGUGCUGAAGCGGAGGCUGCUGCAGCCCUCGCGCCGGGUCAAGCGCUCCCGCCGGAGACCCCUCCUCCCGCCCACGCCGGACAGCGGCCCGGAAGGCGAGAGCUCGGAGUGACGGCCUGGGACCUGCCACUGGGGCGUGCGGCUCCUCCCCGCGCCGCGAGGCCGCGACCUCUGCCACGUGGACCGCGCGCGGGGCGCCCCCUGGUGGCGGUGGCGCGGCACUGGCCGAGCACCGCGGGGGCUUUCCUCCUUGUUGGUUGCUGAGUGGGCGGCCAAGGGGAAAAAAGGAGCCGCUUCUGCCUCCCUUGCCGAAACUCCGUUUCUAAUUAAAUUAUUUUUAGUAG
rnacentral:sRNA from 1 species